UUUCCGUAGGUGAACCUGCGGAAGGAUCAUUAAAAAUGAAGCCGGGAAACCGGUCCUUCUCACCCUUGAUUAUCUCAAUUUGUUGCUUUGGCGGGCCGCGCAAGCACCGGCUUCGGCUGGAUCGUGCCCGCCAGAGGACCACAACUCUGUAUUAUAUGUCGUCUGAGUACUAUAAAAUAGUUAAAACUUUCAACAACGGAUCUCUUGGUUCUGGCAUCGAUGAAGAACGCAGGC
rnacentral:misc_RNA from 1 species